rnacentral:tRNA from 1 species
GCGCCGGGCGGCCAGCGGCACCAGGUCGGACGCCUCGUUGACCGAGACGAUCACGUGGUUCGGGUUGACCGAGAAGGGCACCGGGUCGAAUCCGGCCCGGCGCA